AUGGAUAGAGUACCACAUUUUUCUGUUCCUCUUAAUGAGUCAAGUGAUGACAGCAUAGAUGAGCCUUCCACUUCUAUGUCUGGAAUGGCUUCACAAUGGCCGAGGAGAAACUGUCACCGUCCUAUGACUUUAUUCCAGAAGUACAGGAGCCUGAAGUUGAGGACAGUGUGGCUUCCACACAGGAACCUACUUCCACACAGGAACCUACUUCCACGCUGCAUUCCCAAUACCAGAGAAAGUCAUCAAAAAAGAGAGGUAAAGAAACUCCUGCCAAAAGAAGCUGGACAACAGAUGAAUGUGCGGCAGUAGAAAGGCACCUAAGGAAAUUCAUUGUGAGGAGCCAAGUUCCAGGGAAAAAGGACUGUCAGCGCUGCAUUGAUGCAGGAGCUCAAGCUUUAGGAAAUCGAGACUGGAAGGCGGUAAAAUAUUUCAUCAAAAACCGUAUUUCUGCCAUAAGAAGGAAAGUACAGUGA
rnacentral:lncRNA from 1 species